GCCCCGUGGCACGAAGUGGGCCUCUGUGGGCAUCUUACUAGACAGUGCUGGAUUUUUGGAUGUAUUCUAACACUGUCUGGUAACGAUGUUUAAAGAGGGAACCCGACCCGGCAGGUGCCU
rnacentral:pre_miRNA from 12 species